rnacentral:rRNA from 1 species
GACGAACGCUGGCGACGCGCUUAACACAUGCCAGUCGAACGGAAAGGCCUGCUUUCCCUUGUGGAUUGCGGGUACUCGAGUGGCGAACGGGUGAGUAACACGUGAGUGAUCUGCCCCCAACUUGGGUAUAAGCCUGGGAAACUGGGUCUAAUUCCCGAUAGGACUGCAGGGUGGUGCCUGUGGUGGAAAACGAUUUUCUAGUGGUUGGGGAUGAGCUCGCGGCCUAUCAGCUUGUUGGUGGGGUAAUGGCCUACCAAGGCGGCGACGGGUAGCCGGCCUGGGAGGGUGGACGGCCACAUUGGGACUGAGAUACGGCCCAGACUCCUACGGGAGGCAGCAGUGGGGAAUAUUGCACAAUGGGCGGAAGCCUGAUGCAGCGACGCCGCGUGGGGGAUGACGGCCUUCGGGUUGUAAACUCCUUUCGACCGCGAGGAAGCCACCUGGUUGGAAGGGUGGUGACGGUAGUGGUAGAAGAAGCACCGGCUAACUACGUG